UACGUAGGGUGCGAGCGUUAAUCGGAAUUACUGGGCGUAAAGCGUGCGCAGGCUGUUUUGUAAGUCAGAUGUGAAAUCCCUGAGCUCAACUUAGGAACUGCGUUUGAAACUACAAGACUAGAAUAUGUCAGAGGGGGGUAGAAUUCCACGUGUAGCAGUGAAAUGCGUAGAGAUGUGGAGGAAUACCAAUGGCGAAGGCAGCCCCCUGGGCUAACACUGACGCUCAUGCACGAAAGCGUGGGGAGCAAACAGG
rnacentral:rRNA from 1 species